GGAAACUGGAGGUACACACACACACACAGUAGGACUAGACAUCCCUCUUCCCUGGGAAACUGGAGGUACACACACACACACACAGUAGGACUAGACAUCCCUCUUCCCUGGGAAACUGGAGGUACACACACACACACACACACACACACACAGUAGGACUAGACAUCCCUCGUCCCUGGGAAACUGGAGGUACACACACACACACACACACAUCCCUCUUCCCUGGGAAACUGGAGGUACACACACACACACACACACACACACACACACACACAGUAGGACUAGACAUCCCUCGUCCCUGGGAAACUGGAGGUACACACACACACACACACACACAUCCCUCUUCCCUGGGAAACUGGAGGUACACACACACAUCCCU
ensembl:lncRNA